CCGGCUGCAGGGCCGACAAGAAGAAGUUAGUGGGCUCCGGCUGCUGCAUGGGGGCAAGGGGCACAAAAGCAGCAGCAGCCAAGCCCCGGGGCCGCCUGCUCCUCUGACUGGAAGGCUGCCUCCCUCCCUCCCUCCAGGUCCAGGGCUGGGAAAGUCCCUCGAAGAUUAUUGUGCAGUCCUCAAAUCCUCCCUGGACACUCACAAGUCUUCUAACGAAGAGUAACAAAAACAUUCAAACCACCACAAAUCAUGGUGAUUUUUUUCUUCACUUGAUCCCCAAAACAAGGAAAACACACCAAGGAUUUCAUGUAGGGAGAAAAUAUGAGGCUGCAAGACAAGACCACCUUUAUACCGGUGGUUCUCAAACUCUCCAGAUGUUUGGCUCUUCAGCUCCCAGAAUUCCUGAGCAUUAUCCAUACUGGCUGGAACAUCUAGGAGCUGAUGUCCAAAACAAACUACUGCUCUGUACCACCUGCUGUAAGCAAUUGUAUUGAAUCUAAGAGCCUUUAGGGUACUUAGGCCUUUUGCAAAACUGCUGCCCCCUAAAAUAAAAGAGAAAAGGCUAGCUUGUACAGUCACCUAGAAUUGUUGGCAGUAAACAGCAUGCUGCACUGUAAAUGCCUGUGGGCCUAACCCUAACAAUAGCCUGUUCAUUGUCUCUGCAUGUAUACCGUUCAAGUUGUUGGUCUCUAUUUGAUCAUGUUAACCUCAGCCACUUGCAGCUAUUUACAUAUCAAGGAACAGCCAAAAGAUAUUCCCCACCCUGGUUAUGUCAAUAAAGAUUUUAGAAUAGUUGGCUAGACCACUAAGGCAGGAUUGGUUUUCCCAGCCUUUAUGUACCAGACACUCAAGAGACUGCUUUCAGAGUUAUAUAUGCACAACACUGGGUCCAAUGAAACAUUUUGGACAAGAUAAGAACCCUAAUGCUAACAGUAAGGUCUGACUGGCAGUCCAUUCACUUUCCUCUUGCACAGAGCUGAGCUGGUUUAUACAUCUCUAAGGAAAACAGCACAUUCUUCUUGUAAAUAUGCCUGCCUAAGGCUUGUAAGGGACAAUCAUCAGGAUGUCUGAUGUUCCAUAAAAUGGUUUUCCUUUGGGUGGUCUCCUCUAGCCAAAUAAUAAUUAAGUAGCAUUUGUGAAGCACUCAGAUGUCCACAUGAAAGACUCUCUGGACAUGUGUAGCACAUUAAUCAUCAUAAUAGCCAGGCCCAGCCCUGCUUAGCUGUUCAAAUUCUGCAGCGUGCCGCACAGCACAGUGCUGAGUAUCUAGCUAUUAAAGACUCUGUUUCUAUAGUAUGAAUAAUCCCUCUGGGUAAAGAAAGCACUCCUAAAUUAAGGAGACCUCAUUAAGAAAGAGUGUCUCUUUGUUAACAAGUGGGAAACUGAGGCACAUAAUGUGAAGUUGUUCAUGAGUCAGAAGCAGGGUAAAGUCUAUGACUCAGCAUUUUCUGGGAAUGUGCUCCAACCUAAUUGAACUUUUGCUUUCUUAUGUGCCUACAUAGGAAUAUUCAUUGUAGUAGAUAUCCUCAUUUAUUAGAAACAAGAAUAAUGUCCCAGAUCACAGAAUGGAAAGGGAGGAGAGCAGGAAUGUACAUUCUGAUACUUCCUUAAAACACUAAGAAAAUAUAUUCACAUUAGAAAUUUGGGAAGCAGCUUCUAACACAACACACUACGCCCAUUCAGUGCUACUCAAAUUGAUCUAUAGAGUCAUGCUAGUCCACAAACCAUCAGCUGCUGUUCUGUGGCUAGUUUUGAGGAAACUUUGUGGGAAAAUAGGGUAAUAUACAGUAGCACAAGUAUGGCACUGGUCUGUGGCUCAUUAAAAACAAACCUUGCUGGUCUACCACAUCAGAUGGCUUGACUCUAUGAUUCUAUUCUAUGAAAAGUGCUGCUGUAAUCUGUAAUAGCCUGAGGUCAAACAAUGUGCCUAUCCUUUCUCCAUUCUCUCCACCCAUCCCCAUUUAGGGGAACAGAAUCCUGUGAGGACCUUUGCUCAUGACUCCCUACAAAAAAUUGAUUGGUAUUGUUAGAAAUAGGUUCUGAGAAAAGGUUAUCCUGUGGUGACCAUUGCAUAAACAUGCCUUGCAGUAAUACAGGCCCUCUACAGAUGGGCCUAAAGUGUGCCCCCGUUACGUGCUAGGGGUUGGCCGAGAGUGCACCACCCAUACUGGCCUCACCUCUAGCACAUGAAAGGGGCGUCAAAAUGGCAGGGCCCUGUACAUGGUCACCGCCAUUUUGACGUGACGGACACUUAGCGUCUGCAUGUCCCAGCACAUUUGUGAUGCUGCAAGUGCGCCAUUUGCGCAUUGUGACAUCCCAAACGCAUCGCAAGAAGAACCCACUUUUUAAGGAUUCUUUUUACUCCGCAGGGAAGCCCUAUGGUCUGGAGGCUGCAGCUUCCCCACGGAGCAAACUAGGGCGGCGGGAGACUGUCCUUUUUGGGCGGUCUGUGUUAGCUAAACGUCAUCUUAAAAGUUCUAGUCUUUAGAACAAAAUCUCUGAUUCAUCUUAAGUAGUGUUCAAAGUCUAUUUCAGGUGUCAUGUCUGCUCAUUCACUGUUUCGUAUGCAUUGAAUCCAUGCCGAGAUCCCAGUAUUGACCUUCCCUGUUUCAAAUGAGUGGCAGCUGGUGUUUCUGAUGUUAAUUGAGACAGUGAAUCUACUCUGGGAUUUAGUCUGAACUUAGGUGUGGGGCCUGUUUUGAGGGUAUGGUUCAGUACUUUGGAUGGUUCCUUGUCUAUGCCUAAAAGGUACCUGAUUUGGUACCUACCAACUGCCACUACUUCAAAUGGGAGGCCAGACCUUUGCAAGGUCCGAAAGAGAGACCUUUCCUUUUCCGGAUUAAUGCUCCAACACUUAAACAAGUCAGCAGUGAGGUGCUAUUUGGGCAACAUCUUAGAGGAAAGGCCCAUUAAGACUAGUUCAGGCAGCAAAUUUCAGAGAGAUAAAAUGAAGAUUGGUUUUAUCGUUAUCCCCUGCCAAAACCCAUAUUGCUGCCUCCUUGCUGCUUUUCUGUUGCCUGCUGACAUUUCCAAGGUAGCAUGAGAAAGCAGGCCCUAAAGACCCUGAAGAUACUAGGUCCUAUCUGAUCUUGAAUGAAAGACCAUCAAGGAACACAAGGUAUUGUAGACUAUAUAUCAGAGAAAGGAACUAGCCAAACUACCUCUGAGUAUUCCUUGCCUUUAAAAAAAACCUAUGAAAUUCAUGAGGUCGCCAUAAGUCAACAGGCAAUUAAAGGUUGAACAUACAUAUGAGAAAAUAAGAGGUGCAUAAGGAUUUAAUGGAGAGUAGUCAUAAUGACAGAGUUGACAUUGGAUCCAUGCUUUGAGCUGCCUUUGAAGGGAUAACCCUGGAAGGUGUCUUGUGAAUAAUGAAAUAAGGAAACAUAAAGUCAGGUAGCUUAGAAGACAAAGCAGGCUUGAUGGUUGAGAUUCUAAUAGGCUCACUCUGCAAAUAAAGGUGUUCUUGGAUAACUACACUUGGUGAUUGUAAAAUUGACUAUUUAUAAGGAAUGACUUCCAUAUUGACCUUUCUGCCAGAAUCCACUGCAUAUCUGCUGGAGAAAUUUUGUGCAUUACAGAGAAUUCUGGACACAUCAUUAGUUUGUGAGACAUAUUGGACUAGACUCCUGAUAUUAAACAAGGUGGGGAAUUUUAGUGAUGGUGCACAAAUGAUGUUCCAGAAAAACUUUGUCAUUACUAUUCUUGUAGCAGAAAACAUUUGGGCUGCCCACAAUAUAUUCUUAAAAACACUGCA